ACCAGCUCCCCGCUGCCCCUUACCUUGGCCUGGCAUUUCCGAUGACAGGAGAAGCUGCAGACUGCGGGAGCGAGACAGAAAGAAAGUUUUAGCCGCGAGAUGUCCCUCAGGCUCCUGAGAAAGGCAGACACCUGGACAGCUGUGACCUCCCAGGUCCUUGGAGAGCACCAAAGGCAGAGACCUACCCACAAUGCCUUCCUGUGCUGACUCCCUGAGCAGACUUGAUCCACGCCUACUUCUCCCACCCCUGGCCCAGUCAAGGCAACCCUACGCCUUCUGCUGAAGUUCACAUGUGGCCAAGCCCAGAGCCAUCCUCACUCUUCCUUGCUGGACUACUCCUGGAUGUCAUGUAGCUUGAUGGUGUGUCUGGACUGGAGUCCAGGCUUUCCUCUGGCCCGUGGUCUCCUCUGCCUCGAGAUUCAGGAUGAAACUGGGAGACUCCUAUACACAUGGGAACCAGGGCCCCUGUCUUUGAGAACUCGUGGACUAAGUCAUCAUGGAGACUAGACACAGAUAUCUGAAUGCCACAGGAAACUAGGCAGAGAUGUGCCCACAGACACACUCCAAAUCCUAAAAUUCCCUCUUUCCCUGCUCCCACUGGUGCCUCUCAGAUGAGGGGGAAACUCCAGGAGGAAGAGAGUGGAGAGCAAGGGGAGACAGAAGCCAAUUUAUGUGACCUGAAGGUACAGGGCAGAAUGGGUCUAUUAUACAAUAAAAAUGCAAAGCCUGACCUGC